AAAUUGAAGAGUUUGAUCAUGGCUCAGAUUGAACGCUGGCGGCAGGCCUAACACAUGCAAGUCGAACGGUAACAGAAAGCAGCUUGCUGCUUUGCUGACGAGUGGCGGACGGGUGAGUAAUGUCUGGGAAACUGCCUGAUGGAGGGGGAUAACUACUGGAAACGGUGGCUAAUACCGCAUAACGUCGCAAGACCAAAGAGGGGGACCUUC
rnacentral:rRNA from 1 species